UCAGGAGCUACAAGAGCUUCAGAAAAGGGCAGAGAAAUAUCCAUGUGCCAGUCCUCGCUGGCUAUGGGGAAGCAAGGUUAGCCUCAUAGUCUAUGACCCGGACUACAUGAAGGUGAUCCUGGGGCGAUCAGACCCAAAGUCUGAUGGUUCCUACAGAUUCAUGGCUCCCUGGAUAGGGUAUGGUUUGCUCCUGUUGAAUGGGCAGGCGUGGUUCCAGCACAGGCGGAUGCUGACCCCAGCCUUCCACUAUGACAUCCUGAAGCCCUACGUGGGACUCAUGGCCGAUUCUGUCCGAGUGAUGCUGG